GCCGCGUGAAACCGGAGUUGAGCGAGGCCCGCGCUAUCCGGCGCCAGAGCAGGUCGCAGCUGGUGAAGCGCCGCAGCCAGCGGCACACCUGGGCCAGGCGGCCGAGGGCCCGCAUGUCGAGGCAGGGUCUCACUGCGCAGCUCUGGCUGGCCAGGAGCUUGCUGUAUAGACCAGCCUGACUCUCUCUGCAGCACUCUGAUCAAAGCACUUGGAAGGUGGAGAUAGGAGAAUCAGAAGUUCAAGGUCAUCUCUAACAACAUGGUCAAUUUGAAGUCAGCCUUGAGAUACAAGAGACUCUGUCUCAGAUAAGGAAACGAAUGUAUCAUGAAAGAAUAAAAUAAAGAACAAAUUUGAAUAUAAGAAUGAAGAGGGCUGGAAAGAUGGUUCAGUGUUCUUACUGCUCUGGCAGACUGGGGCUCAGUUCCCAGCACCCACACGGUGGCCAACAACAGUCUGUAACUCCAGUUCCAGAGCAACCAAUAUCCUCCUCCUCGGACCCUCGGGCACCAGGCACGCAUGUGCACAAACAUACUGCACGUAAAAUUAAAAUAAAUAAAUAAAAAGGGGAAAUAAGAGGCCUCACAGUGAAUGUUUUUGGAAACAAACUUCUCCUAAUAGAGGAAACAUCUAAAAUGUUUUCAGAAAUCACAAUCAGUAUCUCAUAUCCAGAAUAUUCAGAAAUCUUGUUAGAAAAGCCAUUGCCAUCUGGAUCUACCAUCUUUGCCAUAUUUAAAAAAAAAAAAAACAACAACUGGGUUUUGUUUGUUUGUUUUGGGUUUCUUGAGACAGGUUUCCCAGAACUCACUUUGUAGAUUAGGCUGGCCUCAAACACACAGAGAUCCACCUGCCCCUGCCUCCAAAGCACUAGGAUUAAAAGCAUGUGCCACCACCUUUACCACCCAGGGAGAAAACUUUAUUAUUUCAUAUGAAAUAAUUCCAAGCAAGUGCUGACUUAAAAUACUUUAACCAAAAAAGACUGGAAGGGAUUGUAACAAAUGUCAGAGAUGACUGUGGAGUUGUGUUCUGUUCUGUCUGCCCAUACUUUUGAUAGUCAUGUCUAAAGAAAAAAGGCCCAAAAGGUAUUUACACCAAGUGUAAACUAAUAAUGAAUCCCAGCACCAGCAGAGUCAGGUGGUUGGAGGCCAGCCUGGUCUACAGAUGGAGUUCCGGGACAGCCAGGGCUACACAGGGAAACUCUGUUUCAAACAAAAAUAAAAACAAAAGCAAUCAAGAAAGGUAGGCACUAUUUCAAAUAUAAUUCUGGCUUUGUGACUAUGAGAAAGCACAGUUUCUUUCCCCCGCCCCCUCUCCUCCUGAGAAAAGGUUUCUCUAUGCAGCCUGCUGUCCUGGACAAACUUUGUAGAUCAGGCUGGCCUCCAACUCACAGAGAUCCUCCUGCCUCUGCCUCCCGAGUGUUGGGAUCACACAGGUGUGCACAAACACUCCCAGCUGAGAAAACACAUUUUCAAUCAUUAAUUGUAAAUAAAUUAUGUACAUAUGUAUAUGUUUAAGUGUAGUAUGUAAAUAUACAAUGCCUGUAAUUAACAGAAUGGGAGAACAGGGAAAAUCCAACUUUGUGAGAAAGAAAAGGAAUCGCAAUAUUUUCAGGAAAUUUCCCAGUUGGCAGUCACAGGGCACAUAUGUGGAGGUCAAGGACAGCUCGAAGGAGUCACUGCUCUUCUUCUACCAAGAGGGUUCCAGAAAUUGCAUCGGGCCUGACAGGAAGCACCUUUACCCACUGAGACUUCGUACUAGCCCUCAGUUUUGUCUGACUAAAACAUGUUCACACGCUUACAUACAUAUGUGCACAUGUACUAAAUA